CUUGUUUUAUUUUGCUUUUUUUCUAUACAGCUCAAUUUUUGGAAAACAUUCAAGUUUGGUGUCAGAAAGAUAGAACACACAUGUUCAAGCAUUUCCAGGAAAGAAAAGUAUCCAGUUUUCUGCUAUUCUUCAAGGCCUCACAAUGGACCUGGGCUUACCUUCUCAUUUAAGCAACUUCUUUAAAACCAAACAAACACAAACUAAAGUAUAUUUAAGGACAUCACAGUUUUAUUUCUACUGAAUUUUCUUUCAUUCUACUUUUAUGGUCAUUGCUGCCAGCUCAGCUUCACAAUCAAAGAGUUCAGGACAGGAGGAAACACCGAGUCAAUAAAGUCACUUUUGGUUCCCAGCGUGCAGACAGUCUUCCACUGCAUCAUGGCUGAUCUGUAGGGUGGUGGCGUCUCAAUGAGGAGGCAGAGGACACUGCAACACCCGCACAUCUGAGCUCUUGAAGCAGCUGAAGAUCCUCAUGUGGAAGGAAUGUUGAGCCAUUGAAUUAUCGAUCCCUCUCUGCCUACACACCCACACCAAACUUCAUCCCAUCAGCUUCAUCUGACUGGCUUUCUGCAAAAAAGGAUCUCAUUGCUGAUGCGUACCGACAGAUUUUUCAGAAGGAAUUCCCCACUGCAAGAGAAGUAACGUGUUGUGAAAGAGAAGCACUGUUACCUAACCGACCGCUGUUGCAUCCAGAUCUGUCAACAAAAUACAUAUAGGAAAAACUGAGUAUAAUUCAAGUGGAAGCAGAAAAAUUGGGUCAUCUCUGAUCCAGACGUGUCCAUUAUGCCUCAGCAGUAUUUAUUACAACCUGCCAGUUAAAGGCGAUGUCUUGGGGCGCUGGAGGCCACAACACCACGAGCAGAGUGUGCAUGGGGCCUCUCUGCUACCCAUUUCCAGCAACCCUACUGUCAUGUGAAGCCAACGCACUACUGCACUGCC
rnacentral:lncRNA from 1 species